rnacentral:lncRNA from 1 species
GCGCGCGGCUGCAGGCCCCGAGCCGAGCGUGGAAGCGGGACGCGCAGGGAGCGUGACGGCGGCUGGACGGAGGCAGGCGUGCGGGAGGGGAUGGAGCCCCUUGCUGCCAGCAGUGUCGUCACGCGCCCGGUGACUCCGCUGGCAGAGCGAGGCAAGCAGAGGACUGAGGAUCAUUAGGCUUCCAGAAGGAGACUGGAGCGAUAUUGGCAGCCUAGGAGUGAAGGGAGUGGCCGGGAUCAAGGGAGUCAUUCAGCCGGCCUGCCUGCGACGUUCACAGCUUCCUUCUAAGUUAGAGAAACGAUUCGGAGACUGCCGACUCGAGGUGAAAAUCUUGCCACCUGUUAAAAUGAAGGUGCGUCCCCAAUAUCCGGUUUCUCCCUUCGACAGAAGAUGCUCGGAGGAACUUUCACCCACUACUCUGAUCCUCUAGCGUUUCCAAAGAUGGAGUUGGAACUAUGCUUCAGGAGCAGAGUUGUGAAGUUAUGAAUAAUAGGAGUUCGCCUUCCACCCACUGGCCAGACGUGGGAGAGAAAGAGGACUUACUUAUCUUCUAACCGGAAGUUUGUACCUUUUGGCCACCUGCAUCCAAUUUCCGGUGCCCCCACCCUUACCUCCAGGAACCACAGAUCCCACCUCUUUUUCGGAAUCUAGGUUCUGUGAGGCCAUGUGAGAAUCACAGGAUUGGAGACACACGAAAUGCAGCCAGUUCAAUGCACAAAUUGCUAGAUUAUUGCACACGAUCAGCUCAGGAGACCAGAUUUUCAAAUAGGUGAAGUUGGAAUCUGAGUACACUACCCUUUGAUGGGGAGAACGCCCUCAUUUCAUCUUUCAUCUCUACAUAAAGGAAAUCAGCUUUACAAAGUGAGACCUUGUUGCCACUCAGAGCAUGGCAUUGAAUUACUGUCUCUGCUGGACUUCAGCUGCGGGGGCUAAUUAUUUUUUCCAAAACCUCAUUAUCUUGCCACAUUGCAAAGUAUCUUGCUUCAGCAAUUAGAUAUUUUGAAUUGUGGGAGUAAAAACUCCACUCUAUAAGAAGCUUCUGUUUCCUGUAGAUAAAAUCGGGGAAAAGAGGAUGAUCUAGAGACAGAACAGAAUAUGCUGCUGUGUGUAUACCAUGGACAAUAAUAAAAUGUAGUGAAAAGGAAAACCCGUCAAAUU